rnacentral:rRNA from 1 species
UGGGGAAUAUUGGACAAUGGGCGCAAGCCUGAUCCAGCCAUACCGCGUGGGUGAAGAAGGCCUUCGGGUUGUAAAGCCCUUUUGUUGGGAAAGAAAUCCAGCUGGCUAAUACCCGGUUGGGAUGACGGUACCCAAAGAAUAAGCACCGGCUAACUUCGUGCCAGCAGCCGCGGUAAUACGAAGGGUGCAAGCGUUACUCGGAAUUACUGGGCGUAAAGCGUGCGUAGGUGGUCGUUUAAGUCCGUUGUGAAAGCCCUGGGCUCAACCUGGGAACUGCAGUGGAUACUGGGCGACUAGAGUGUGGUAGAGGGUAGCGGAAUUCCUGGUGUAGCAGUGAAAUGCGUAGAGAUCAGGAGGAACAUCCAUGGCGAAGGCAGCUACCUGGACCAACACUGACACUGAGGCACGAAAGCGUGGGGAGCAAACAGGAUUAGAUACCCUGGUAGUCCACGCCCUAAACGAUGCGAACUGGAUGUUGGGUGCAAUUUGGCACGCAGUAUCGAAGCUAACGCGUUAAGUUCGCCGCCUGGGGAGUACGGUCGCAAAGACUGAAACUCAAAUGAAUUGACGGGGUCAUA